AUCUUGCAUAACCACCGUGCUGCUGCUUGCUAAAACCAUGAUGUUGAGGUCUUGCUGUUUCUCAUGGGUCUCCUGGUACCAUUCCCUCAUCACUUCUGAGUCAUGAGUUGGGAUCAGAGUCACCUGAAGGAAGAGAGAAAACAGCUGUGUAAGGGCAGAGACAGAAACCAGAUGAAAAAAAUAGAACAAGGAACCAGAAUAAAGAUGGGAGGAAACUGAAGACUGGAAAUAAAAGCAACUAGCUGAUUUUAUAUUAGCUGCUUUUUCAGUGCAAUGAAUAUGAAGGCAGAUAAGACAUGGGCCUAACCCUGGCAGCCUUGGAAGAAGACAGAUCACAAGUUCUGGAAAAGUUGGAACCAAGCUUUCAUUUUAAAAUGUGUUUUCAAAGAGCAGCCUGAGUCUAAACAAUAACCAAGCAACUGCAAGCUGAGACAUCUCCCGACAGGAACCCACCUCUUGAUCGGUGAAAAUCUCUAUGAAGUUCUGGAAGGAAAAAGAGCCAGACUGGAGAAUGAGCUCUCCGGUAUUUUCAAAGCACUGCCCAGUCAGCACGAGCAGCUUAUGUCGGGCGGCAUCGGUGAUCAUCAAGCGCACCUGAAACAGAGGCAGGGAGCAAGGUGUGAGUGGGAGGCAGCACCCCAUCCCACCCUCCAGGACAGUGACAGCCCUGAGCACAGGAAAUUCAUCACCAAUAAAAGGCAUUCAUUUCCUGAGACUCUCAUUUCUUCCCCGGGGGCUGAGAAGGCUGGAGGAAUCAUCCAGAAACUUAUUAACUGAGGCUCUUAGCUCCCCCAUGAAUAUCAUUUUCAAAGUUCUGCUAUAACCAAGACAGCAGUGGUGGUUGACUUUCUCCCCCUCAUUUCCUCUUCCUUCUCAAAGCCAUCAUCACAGCUGGAAGCAUUUGUUCCACAGCUCUUUGGAAGUGUCUGCUAGCUGUAUGCAGUCUGUGAGAACAGGAAGGACUUGCAAAUGUCCCACAGUUGUUUCUCAAGCAGUCUGCCUGAACAUAUUCCUACAGCUUUUUUCAAGUUGUGAUUACCUCCUGAUUCAAUUUGUCAUAGAGAGAUUACUAUCCCAUCAUUUUUCUCAACCAUGUGUGUGAGCACACUGUCAAAAGUUUUGCUGAUCUCAAGCAGGCAGAAGUGGAGCAAAACAAGCUACAUAAUGAAAGCCAAAAAAGUAGAAGCAACCCCAACAUUCAGCAACUGAGGAACAAGCAAGCAAAGAUAGUAUAUCCAUAUAAUGAAAUAUUAUACAGCCAUAAAAAGGAAUGCAGCACUGAUCUAUACUGGCACAUAGCUGAACCUUGAAACAUUUAUACUAAGUAAAAUAAGCCAGACAAAAAGGCCACAUUUUGUAUGAUUCUAUUUAUAUGAAAUGUCCAAAAUAGGCAAAUCUAUACAGAGAAAGUAGAUCAGGGAGUGCUAGCAACAGAGCAGAGGGAAGAGUGAAUGCUCACGGGUUUCAGAGUUUUGGGGGAGUGAUAGACAUGCUUAGAUAGUGUGAUGGUUGCACAGCUUUGUACAUAUCCUAAAAAAAAAAUCACUGAAUUGUAUACUUUAAAAGGAUGGGUUUCAUAGUACCUGAAUUAUAUCUCAAUUUAAAAGGAACAAGCUAUAACAGAGAUGCUCAAAGCAAGACACAGUAGACAACGGAGAAUCCAGGAACUCUGGCUACUUGGAUGUCCAAGAAGCAGCUCCACCUCCAGCCUCUAAACUGCAGUAAACGAAGUGGAAAACAGAGCUAUAUCAACUCCUUGGCCUUGUCUUCAGCCAAGUUCUUAUAUCAUGUGGGGCUCUGAAAGUCCCUGUCACUCUCUAGCCACAGCUACAUAUGAUAAUGUCACAGCAAGAGCCAGCACCAACAUUUCAGGCACCACAUGCCACAAGCUGUCCCGAACACUUCACACCUCAAAGCACAACAUGGAGAAUGGACAUUAAAUGUAAAGCUGUUAGUUAUGAUCUCCAUUUUAUAGAGAUGCAAACUCAAAUGAAGACAGCCAAUGACUUGCUCCAGGCCACCACCAAAGAGGUGGCAGACCUGGGAUCAUGAACCCAGGUAAGGAGACACCAGCUGCCACUCUCCUGAGCCCUGUGCCGGGGUGGGGUGCAGGGAGCUGGGAACGGGGCUUGCAUCUUCUCCAGGUUCUCAGCCCGAGGGCCUACAGUCUAGCUCCUUUCUACCACCCUGCCAGAUCCACCCUGCAGCACACACCCCAUGUAUGCCCCCAAUUCCACACUCCCUCACCUCCACCAAGUGCUACAGAUCCAGCUAGCACCUCCAAUGGUGUCCUUACCAGGAGCAAUGGUGUGAAGUAGUCAGAUGCAGAGAAACAGACGCCAAC